rnacentral:rRNA from 1 species
AGCUCCAAUAGCGUAUAUUAAAGUUGUUGCAGUUAAAAAGCUCGUAGUUGAACUUUGGGCCUGGCUGGGCGGUCAGCCAAAUGGUUAGCACUGCUUUGGCCGGGCCUUUCCUUCUGGAGAGGCGGCAUGCCCUUCACUGGGUGUGCCUCGGAUCCAGGACUUUUACCUUGAAAAAAUUAGAGUGCUCAAAGCAGGCAUUUGCUUGAAUAGAUUAGCAUGGAAUAAUAAAAUAGGACGUGUGGUUCUAUUUUGUUGGUUUCUAGGACCACCGUAAUGAUUAAUAGGGAUAGUUGGGGGCAUUAGUAUUCAAUUGUCAGAGGUGAAAUUCUUGGAUUUAUUGAAGACUAACUACUGCGAAAGCAUUUGCCAAGGAUGUUUUCA